AAAAGUGAAUCUAAAUAUUGUAAAAAAGAAAACAAUUAGUAUUAUUGUUGUAAGUUUUCACAACACAAUCAUAAAAGCUUUAUUGGAAAGCGUAGCAUUUUUUUACAUCCUAAAAAAAUUGCUGAGUUGGCUUGCGCGUCGCACCGUCAGUCUGCCGUAACGUGGCGGCGCUGCGCUCGUGUGUGUGCUGCAGGAGUGGCUCAGUGGCUCGAACUGUCAUUGUUCAUGUAGUUUUCUGUGAUAAGAAUUACUGUGAAAUUAUAGUUUAGCGAACUAAUUUACACAAUCACGAUGUCCGCCUCGGGUGAAUUCGGCAAUCCUUUACGCAAGUUCAAGCUGGUUUUCCUAGGGGAACAAAGCGUGGGGAAGACGUCGCUCAUCACUAGGUUCAUGUAUGAUAGCUUUGACAACACUUAUCAGGCAACAAUCGGGAUCGACUUUCUGUCGAAGACUAUGUACUUGGAGGACCGCACGGUCCGGCUUCAGCUGUGGGACACCGCGGGCCAGGAACGGUUCCGCUCCCUCAUACCUUCCUACAUCAGGGACUCUACUGUCGCUGUCGUGGUUUAUGAUAUUACCAAUGCGAACUCAUUCCACCAGACCUCCAAAUGGAUCGACGAUGUCCGCACGGAGCGCGGCUCCGACGUCAUCAUCAUGCUGGUUGGCAACAAGACGGACUUGUCGGACAAGCGCCAGGUGUCCACCGAGGACGGAGACAGGAAGGCGAAAGAGCUCAACGUUAUGUUCAUAGAGACCAGCGCUAAGGCUGGUUAUAAUGUCAAACAGUUGUUCCGACGAGUGGCAGCCGCGUUGCCCGGAAUGGACUCUGCCGAGAACAAGCCGCCGGAAGACACGGUGGAUCUGCAGACGCAGUCGCCGAUGGGCUCGGAGCAGGAAGGCAACGAGAGCGGCUGUGUGUGCUGAACUCGCCUCCCCCCCGCACCGCUUCACGCACACCCAGUAUCGACACAUCGGACACAUCGAUACUAUAUAUUUUUACCUAUGUAUUUUUUUAUUUAAAAACUUAAACGAACCGAUGAGAGAAUCAUUUGAAACAACGUUUAGAAAUGGCAUGUGACUUUAAUAUCGAUAUUAAUGUACUACGGACUAGGCGUGUAUGAAGCAUGAUUUUUUCAAAAGCUAGUGUUGUUUAAUAACAUGUUUGUAUGUGAAUCAAAUUGUGUCCGUAGUCCGUGGUACAUAAAUGUCGUGACACUUAUUCAAACUUUGUGAUUAGAUAAGUCUUUCAAAACGUUCCUAUGACUUCGUUUCAAAUAUUAAAUAUAUCUGGCAGAGGAAAGACUGGAACAUUACUGUGUGUUUUGUUAAAGUUGUAUUUAUUAGGUUUUUUAUAUGUGCCUACAAAGUUGCUAAAUACUUCCUAGUUUGAGUGAUUGGAGAAAUUUCUAACUAAUUAUUUAGGCUUUACUGGAUCAUUUUAAAUGCGUUCGCUUCUACACGCAGAAUGUCUAUGAACCGAUAAUUAUUUGGUUUUCUCUCGAUAACUCGCAUUAUGUAUAUAUUUACAUCCCUACGUGUGUUUAAAUAUGUAUGAAUAUUAUUAGAGCCUAGUUUAUUUUUUAUUGUAAAUAGUUUUUUUAUUUUAUUUAUAUUACACAUAAACAUGUUUUUGGUAUUUUUAGCCGUCUUCACUAUCGGACGACGAUGUUGGCUUUAAUAUAAAAUCACGUACAUUGCAUACACUCACUGCCAGAAUUUGUAUGAAGGAGACAUCAAACAUAGGUGCUCAGUGGAUAUUAUAUUAUCUGCUUACAAACAUUAUUAUGACGUUAAAGCAAUACCAAAUUACUCGCUUGUAGAUAGAUAGGUAUCUAUAAUUAAUGCAUAAUAAUACGGUAGAUGGCACAGCAUCAUGUAAACUUGCACCUUUUUACACAAAUACGUUUAUCUUUUGUCCACUGUCGCUUCUGUAUUGUAUUUUGAACUUUAUGCUAUUCACUCUAAAGCUUUUAAUUUUAAAAUACGUGUCUUAUUGGUUUUAAAGAUCAAAAUACAAAACCCUCGCAAUUCACAUUGGACCAAAGAAAAAACAUUGAGCAGUAUAUUUUGAUUUAAUUUCGUUAUGUUUCAUAAUUUUUAAUCCUUUGCAAUUAUUUGUUCAUAUUUUCUGUUAUUAUAGAAGGUUUGUGAAUCGGAGCAUGCUUUUGGACGCUGGAGCAUUCGGAUAUGUAUUGUUAAAUUUCCAUCUACCUGUUUAGAGCUCAAGUUUACCGACAAACGUUAGUUUUCUUAAAACAACUGUUUACUGUUAAUUUUCACGUUAAAUUUUUUGUAUAUAGUAAACAGCUGUUUUAAAAAAAAAUAUGUUUCUGUUGUCGGUGAACUUGAGUCCAAAUGGUAGUUUCAUAGAAACAGUUUUCUGAAGGAAAUGUAAGGAAAAUAAUACAAAAUAUCAAAAGAUUCCCGUUUUUAAGCAGUAUUAGAGUAACCUAGCGAACUGAGUCAACCAGCAGCUUAGAAUUCUAUAUAAACUAAACAUAACUAAGUAAUUUCAUUAUAAAAAGUUACUAAUACGCACUUUAUUUUUAAGCACAACUUGUGAACGUUUCAGUAUUUUUAGUGUCUAUGCUAAAAGGUUAAGUUAUAGUCGGUCGUGUUUUAAUUUAUAUUGAGUAAAGGCUUUCUAAAUAUAAAUUCAACCACUAAAUAUCAAUUUUGAAAUUAAAGAAUAUUAUGUUAAAU
rnacentral:misc_RNA from 1 species